AUGGGAAAAGUCAAAUUUGGCGAGCGCCAUAUUUGGCGCUCGCCAAAUGGUCUACAUUGGAAACUACCAACCCUUUGGGUUGGAUUGUACUUGGGCAUCCAACCCAAAGGGUUGGACGACCA